UAGAUGCGAGAGUAGAGCAUAUCAAUAAGCGGAGGAAAAGAAACUAACAAGGAUUCCCUUAGUAACGGCGAGUGAAGCGGGAAGAGCUCAAAUUUGAAAUCUUCAAGGUUCUACCUUGACGAAUUGUAGUUUAAAGAAGUGUUUUCUGUUAGAUUUGAGUAGCAAAGUUCCUUGGAAUAGGGACAUCAUAGAGGGUGAGAAUCCCGUAUUUGGUUAUUCAUUCUAGCUUUGUGAUACACUUUCAAAGAGUCGGAUUGUUUGGGAAUGCAGUCCAAAAUGGGUAGGUAAAUUUCAUCUAAAGCUAAAUAUUGGCGAGAGACCGAUAGCGAACAAGUACCGUGAGGGAAAGAUGAAAAGAACUUUGAAAAGAGAGUUAAACAGUACGUGAAAUUGUCAAAAGGGAAGCGUUUGACACCAGUGUUGUUUUUCCGAAAAUCAAUUACGAAUGGCUUGAUUUUGUGUUGUAUUGACCUUAUCAGCUUUCUUCACUUUUUUCGAGUCUUUCUUAAUGCACUUUUCGGUUAACAAGUCAACAUCAAUUUCUUUUGUUGUAAAAGAGUAUUCGGAAGGUGGCUUUCUUUUCGGAGAGAGUGUUUAUAGCCCUAUACUUCUACAAUCGGAGAGAUUGAGGUCUGCAGCGUAGAUCCUUCGGGGUUAGAUACACUUGUGCUAAGUUGUAGCUUUUCAUAGACAACUUGUUGACUAUGUUUAGUCAUGCGGCUUACUCGCUUGUGCUAUUUUACCUACGCUUAGGAUGUUGAGCGCAUGUCUCUCUCU
rnacentral:rRNA from 1 species